rnacentral:lncRNA from 1 species
AGAGCGCGACCCUGCCCGCGACGCCCGCGCGUCCCCUUCCCUCACCUGCGGGGCGGCACCCAGGAGCCGAGGGGCGCGGAGUGCGGAGGCGACAGCGGGAUGUGCGUUCACCGGCUCAAGAGCUCUCACAGUCUCGCAGCUUCCCUGGGCGACCCACCGCAGCUGCCAGCCCGCGACGCUCGGGGCGGCGCCCUCUGGCGGCGGGAGGCCUCGCGCGCCGCCCCGCAAACGCUACCAUUGGCUGCGUUGCCAGUGUCAGCCCGGGGUUGGAGGCGCCACGUCGGGGCCUCGGGGCUGCGGAAGCGGCGGCGAUAGGCGGAACCCUGGGCGGCCACACGGAAGGGGGUGAGAGACCGCAAGCUCUUGAGCCCAGCAUCAUCGCCCUCUCCCACACCGCUUGGAUACCAAAGUAGGACUGGAAGGAGACCUAGAUUCAUCUGGGCACCAGGGUGUCACUUCCUUCGGAAUCUGUUCUCUGCAGUAACUUAUCCUGAGCGUCCUGCUUUGCAUUCCGAUACUGUUACCGUCACCCUGAAAACAGCCAUACAGUCGUGUCCUUUCAAAUGAAUGACAGGCAUAGGGACCCGCGUUGAACAGGGAGGUGACCUAAACUCAUUCGGACGCCGGAGCGUCACUUCGGAACUUGUCCUCAAUUCCCUAUCCUACUCGCAGUCACUGUUUUUAUCAUCUUGAAAACAAAAUGCGGUAUUUUUGCAAAUGAAUGUAGGGACGGAUCUCAGAGCCAACACAAGCUCUUGUUCUCCCUGGCCUUCAUCUCAACUUAUAUGUCGCUGUAUUCACCGGUGUUUCAGUGGUCAGGUGUACAUUACCCCAGACAGAACAAUGUAAGGCUGAGUCCCUGCGACUGGAGAUGUGAAAAGUGCUCCAAGUCAGGGCAGUAGAAGGGAGAGUGCUUCCAGGCAGUGGGAAAGAUCCUGAGCCUAAGUUGCUGAGGGACAGGGAAGACAAAGUGUGUGUGUAGAAAGCUCAAAGAGGAUGAGCCACUGCAUGAAAUUUGGAAUUCAGUGUCUGAGAUGGAAAUUACAAGGUCUAAUUUGCAGUUUUAGAAAGUUUCUUCAUGCCGUUGGGCGGAUAUAUAGAAAGGACAAGCAGAAAAGUGAAAGGGGUUGAGGAUGUAACUUAGUUGUCAAAGUGCUUGCCUAGCCUUGAGUUUGAUUUCCAGCACCAAAUAAACUGGAUAUGGUGGGGUACCCUUGUCAUAGCAGUACAUGGGGGUGGGGGGGGGGGGAUAGGAGUUCCAGGUCUUCUUUGGCUAUGAAGCAAGAAAUACCCAGGUCCAGGACCACUGGGGACAGAGGGAAAAGUUUACAUUAGAAGGAAGACACUGAGAUGCACUCUGUCUGGACCCAGAGUGCUACUGUAAGCUCAGGAAGUCGUCAGUACUGGGCCAGUACAAAGUGAAACUUGAUGAGAAUGUAUGGACUUCCUGUUGUUCCUGUACCAAUGGCCUACAUUUUUGUUGCCUUGAAACAACAUAAACUUAAGAGUUCUAAAGGACCAGAGUCUGCAGCAGGUGUUUCACUGGUGAUGUCCAGGUGCUGACGAGGCUUGUCCCUUCUGGAAACUAGUGUUGAGCUCUUGCCUCUUUUUAGCUCCUAGAGGCCUCCUGGACUCGUAGGUCAUGCCUGUCAUCUCCAGAGCCAGUAUUUUCCUCUAAAUGAGGUCUCCUUGCCACACCUUCUCUGGGUCUUUGCUUUCAGUUGUCCCUCAAAGGGCCCUGGUGAUUGCAUUUGAAACAAGGAGGUCCUGGAUCCCACCUGGAGAUUCCCAGUGAUUUUCCAGGCAAGGUAGCAAUAAUCACAAGUUGCUGGUGAUAGAGAGUAGAUAUAUCUGGGAACCCAUCAUUAUAUGUACUGUAGGGAGCAAAGGAAAAGAAGGGCUGAGCAUGGAUGAACCUUCUCUAGCCUUGAAGAAUACUGUGUGUUGUAAGGGUCUCUGCUUCUUUGUCUUCUAUACUAGUGGGGAAGUCCCCGGCCUCUUACCUGGGUGCUGUACCGGAUAGGUGCAUUUGCUGAAGAACUGUUUUAGGCUCCUGCCUCCCAAGGGCUGGCAUUAAAAGUUCAUCACUAUCCC